rnacentral:lncRNA from 1 species
UGGGACCGUGGCGCAAGUGUACUACUUUCGCGAUUCUUAUACGUCGAACGCAUCCUCCCUCGUGAAUAAUCUUGACUGAAGUGACCGCAUUGAUGAACACAAACAUCUAUAGCUCGGAACUGUGCCUCGUUUCGCCCAUGGGUUGCAAAGGAAAAAGGGUGUAAAAGGUGGCAAUGAAUCCGCACAUGAAGCUGGCGCACAAGCUAAGCCUCCGCUAAAGAGGUCCACUAAGCAAGCAUUUUAAAUAUUGCUAAUAAAACAUUUUGUUCUGUCUUCAUCUACCUAACAUUUGGUCAUGUUUGGUGUUCCUUUAAUUUUCCUGUAUCAUAAAAGUGCAGCAGGCCAUGGACAGAAUUCAGAUCAUCUCCCUAAAGCAUUGC